GCCGGCAGCUAGCUUUGCAACUCUCACAUGGUCGCACUCUGAAGCUUAGCAGGGCUGCGCCUGGUCAGUACCUGGAUGAGAGACCACAUGGGAAAGCUAGGUUGCUGCUGGAA
rfam:Danio rerio chromosome 19, GRCz11 reference primary assembly.